rnacentral:rRNA from 1 species
UAAGACGUAGGGCGCGAGCGUUGUCCGGAUUUAUUGGGCGUAAAGAGCUCGUAGGCGGUUCGUCGCGUCAUCCGUGAAAACCCGCCGCUCAACGGUGGGCUUGCGGUUGAUACGGGCGGGCUAGAGUUCGGUAGGGGAGACUGGAAUUCCUGGUGUAGCGGUGAAAUGCGCAGAUAUCAGGAGGAACACCGGUGGCGAAGGCGGGUCUCUGGGCCGAUACUGACGCUGAGGAGCGAAAGCGUGGGGAGCGAACAGGAUUAGAUACCCUGGUAGUCCACGCUGUAAACGUUGGGCGCUAGGUGUGGGGGGUCUCUCCGAUCUCCUGUGCCGUAGCUAACGCAUUAAGCGCCCCGCCUGGGGAGUACGGCCGCAAGGCUA